CGAAUACGAGACGCUACGGCGUCGAAGUAGUGUAUGUCACACUUCCAAGAAAAGCUUGCACUGUCAUAAAUAUAAAAUGCCUGUACCAUAACCGACACAGGUGGAUAGGUAGAGUAUACUAAGGGGCGCGAGAUAACUCUCUCUAAGGAACUCGGCAAAAUAACUCCGUAACUUCGGGAGAAGGAGUGCCUUAUUUACAUAAAGUUGCAAUAACAAGAUCCAAGCAGCUGUUUACCAAAGACACAGGUCUCCGCUAAGUCGUAAGACGAUGUAUAGGGGCUGACGCCUGCCCAGUGCCAGAAGGUUAAAGAAGUUGGUUAGCAUCUGCGAAGCUGAUAACUGAAGCCCUGGUGAACGGCGGCCGUAACAAUAACGGUCCUAAGGUAGCGAAAUUCCUUGUCGGGUAAGUUCCGACCCGCACGAAAGGCGUAAUGAUUUGGAUACUGUCUCGGAGAGGGGCUCGGUGAAAUAGACUUGUCUGUGAAGAUGCGGACUACCUGCACCUGGACAGAAAGACCCUAUGAAGCUUUACUGUAACUUGAAAUUGAAAUUGGACUUUAUUCGCGCAGCAUAGGUGGGAGGCUUUGAAGAUACUCUUGCGGGAGUAUUCGAGCUAUCAGUGAGAUACCACUCUUAUAAUGUUAGAUUUCUAACUUUGAACCAUUAUCUGGUCAAAGAACAGUUUCAGGCGGGCAGUUUGACUGGGGCGGUCGCCUCCUAAACGGUAACGGAGGCGUACAAAGGUUUCCUCUGAACGGAUAGAAAUCGUAUCUAGAGUAUAAAGGCAUAAGGAAGCUUGACUGUGAGACCUACAAGUCGAGCAGGGACGAAAGUCGGUCUUAGUGAUCUGACGGUACUGAGUGGAAAGGCCGUCACUCAACGGAUAAAAGUUACUCUAGGAUAACAGGCUGAUCUCCCCCAAGAGUUCACAUCGACGGGGAGGUUUGGCACCUCGAUGUCGGCUCAUCGCAUCCUGGGGCGGUAGUACGUCCCAAGGGUUGGGCUGUUCGCCCAUGAAAGCGGUACACGAGCUGGGUUCAGAACGUCGUGAGACAGUUCGGUCCAUAUCCGGUGUAGGCGUUAGAAUAUUGAGAGGAGCCUUCUCUAGUACGAGAGGACCGAGAAGGACAUACCUCUGGUGUACCAGUUAUCGUGCCAACGGUAAACGCUGGGUAGCUAUGUAUGGAGUGGAUAACCGCUGAAAGCAUCUAAGUGGGAAGCCCACCUCAAGAUAAGUAUUCUC
rnacentral:rRNA from 1 species